AGAGUUUGAUCCUGGCUCAGGAUGAACGCUGGAGGUAUGCCUCAUACAUGCAAGUCGAACGGGGUUAUUGGUGCUUGCACUAAUAACCAAGUGGCGCACGGGUGAGUAACGCGUGGGUAAUCUACCCUAGAGAGUGGGAUAACACUGGGAAACCAGUGCUAAUACCGCAUAAUUUCCUAAAACGUAUGUUUUGGGACUGAAAGGUGCCUUAGUCUAUGGUACUACUUUAGGAGGAGCCCGCGUCCUAUUAGUUUGUUGGUGGGGUAACGGCCUACCAAGACCGAGAUGGGUAGCCGGCUUGAGAGAGUGAUCGGCCACACUGGAACUGAGACACGGUCCAGACUCCUACGGGAGGCAGCAGUAGGGAAUAUUCCGCAAUGGGCGCAAGCCUGACGGAGCAAUACCUCGUGAGUGAAGAAGGCUUUAGGGUCGUAAAGCUAAGUCAGUAGGGAAGAAGAUUUUAUGUUUAAAUAAGGCAUAGAAUUUGACGGUACCUACAGAGGAAGCCACGGCUAAUUACGUGCCAGCAGCCGCGGUAAUACGUAAGUGGCGAGCGUUAUCCGGAUUUACUGGGCGUAAAGGACACGUAGGCGGUGUCGCAAGUUGGGGGUGAAAACUCUGGGCCCAACCCAGAGCCUGCCUCCAAAACUGCAGCACUAGAGAAUUGGAGGGGAGAGCGGUAUUCCAGGUGUAGCGGUGAAAUGCGUAGAUAUCUGGGAGAACACCAAUGGCGAAAGCAGCUCUCUGGCCAAUUUCUGACGCUGAGGUGUGAAAGCGUGGGUAGCGAACAGGAUUAGAUACCCUGGUAGUCCACGCCGUAAACGAUGGGUACUAGUUGUAGGGAAGCAAUUCUCUGUGACCAAGUUAACGCAGUAAGUACCCCGCCUGGGGAGUACGGUCGCAAGAUUAAAACUCAAAGGAAUUGACGGGGGCCCGCACAAGCGGUGGAGUAUGUGGUUUAAUUCGAUGCAACGCGGAGAACCUUACCUGGGCUUGACAUCCGGUGCUAGACAUGGAGACAUGUUGUUUUGUGGUAACACGAACACCGAGACAGGUGGUGCAUGGUUGUCGUCAGCUCGUGUCGUGAGAUGUUCGGUUAAGUCCGGCAACGAGCGCAACCCUUGUCUUCAGUUGCCAGCGCGUAAUGGCGGGAACUUUGGAGAGACUGUCCCUACUGGGGAAGGAAGGUGGGGAUGACGUCAAAUCAGCAUGCCCCUUACGUCCAGGGCUACACACGUACUACAAUGGUCGGUACAGCGAGGAGCGAGAC
rnacentral:rRNA from 1 species